GACGAACGCUGGCGGCGUGCUUAACACAUGCAAGUCGAACGGAAAGGCCCAGCUUGCUGGGUGCUCGAGUGGCGAACGGGUGAGUAACACGUGGGUGAUCUGCCCCUAACUUCGGGAUAAGCCUGGGAAACUGGGUCUAAUACCGGAUAGGACAAUCGUUUAGUGUCGGUUGUGGAAAGUUUUUUCGGUUAGGGAUGAGCCCGCGGCCUAUCAGCUUGUUGGUGGGGUAAUGGCCUACCAAGGCGUCGACGGGUAGCCGGCCUGAGAGGGUGGACGGCCACAUUGGGACUGAGAUACGGCCCAGACUCCUACGGGAGGCAGCAGUGGGGAAUAUUGCACAAUGGGCGCAAGCCUGAUGCAGCGACGCCGCGUGGGGGAUGACGGCCUUCGGGUUGUAAACCUCUUUCGACAGGGACGAAGCUUUGGUGACGGUACCUGUAUAAGAAGCACCGGCUAACUACGUG
rnacentral:rRNA from 1 species